rnacentral:tRNA from 1 species
GGUUCCAUAGUGUAGCAGUUAACACAUCUGCUUUACAUAGAGAAGGUCCUGGGUUUGUGCCCCAGUGGGGCCA